rnacentral:rRNA from 1 species
CCGGCACGGGUGAGUAACACGUAUCCAACCUGCCGUCUACUCUUGGCCAGCCUUCUGAAAGGAAGAUUAAUCCAGGAUGGCAUCAUGAGUUCACAUGUCCGCAUGAUUAAAGGUAUUUUCCGGUAGACGAUGGGGAUGCGUUCCAUUAGAUAGUAGGCGGGGUAACGGCCCACCUAGUCAACGAUGGAUAGGGGUUCUGAGAGGAAGGUCCCCCACAUUGGAACUGAGACACGGCCAA